GACGUAGGGCGCGAGCGUUGUCCGGAUUUAUUGGGCGUAAAGAGCUCGUAGGCGGCUUGUCGCGUCAACUGUGAAAACCCGUGGCUCAACCAUGUGGUCUGCAGUCGAUACGGGCAGGCUAGAAUUCGGUAGGGGAGAGUGGAAUUCCCGGUGUAGCGGUGAAAUGCGCAGAUAUCGGGAAGAACACCCGUGGCUAAGGCGGCUCUCUAGUACGGUACUGACGCUGAGACGCGAAAGCGUGGGGAGCGAACAGG
rnacentral:rRNA from 1 species